AGAGUUUGAUCCUGGCUCAGGACGAACGCUGGCGGCGUGCUUAACACAUGCAAGUCGAGCGAUGAAAUCUUGACAGAUCCCUUCGGGGUGAAGAUAAGAUGGAUUAGCGGCGGACGGGUGAGUAACACGUGAGUAACCUGCCUUAGACAUUGGGAUAGCCUCGGGAAACCGGGAUUAAUACCAAAUGAAAUCAUAGGUGCCCAUGCACUAAUGAUCAAAACUCCGGUGGUCUAAGAUGGACUCGCGUCCCAUUAGCUAGUUGGUGAGGUAACGGCCCACCAAGGCGACGAUGGGUAGCCGGCCUGAGAGGGUGAACGGCCACAUUGGAACUGAGAAACGGUCCAAACUCCUACGGGAGGCAGCAGUGGGGAAUAUUGCACAAUGGAGGGAACUCUGAUGCAGCGACGCCGCGUGAACGAUGAAGGCUUUCGAGUCGUAAAGUUCUUUUAUAUGGGAAGAUAAUGACGGUACCAUAAGAAAAAGCCCCGGCUAACUACGUGCCAGCAGCCGCGGUAAUACGUAGGGGGCUAGCGUUGUCCGGAAUCACUGGGCGUAAAGGGUUCGCAGGCGGAAAUGCAAGUCAGAUGUAAAAGGCAGUAGCUUAACUACUGUAAGCAUUUGAAACUGCAUAUCUUGAGAAGAGUAGAGGUAAGUGGAAUUUUUAGUGUAGCGGUGAAAUGCGUAGAUAUUAAAAAGAAUACCGGUGGCGAAGGCGACUUACUGGGCUCAUUCUGACGCUGAGGAACGAAAGCGUGGGUAGCAAACAGGAUUAGAUACCCUGGUAGUCCACGCU
rnacentral:rRNA from 1 species